rnacentral:lncRNA from 1 species
ACUGCCGUCGUCGCCUUGUUGUGCCUUCCGGAAAACAUAACUUGAGACACCUUUGGUAAAAUUAGCAUAACUUUUCGCUCGUUUAUCAGAAAAAUCUGAAAUUUUUAUAGCAGAUUCUUGACAUCAUUUAGACCUGACCCUGUUUGGUCUCAUCAAAAUUGCCAAAAAAAUCAAGAAAAUAAAGAAAAAAUUGUUAAGGGUUUUGCACGCUAUUCAGAGAACUUGAUGAAUUUCUGUAGACCACAUCCCACCUCAGUUGUAGGUGCCAAUUUUUGUGCUUACAUCUUUUGUGAUCCUUGCUCAGAGAAAAAUAUAAAAAAAUAGUGAAAAAAAUUGAUUCCUACUAGUGCCUUUUGAGAAAAUACGGGGUAAAUUCAGGAAAAAAGGAAAAUACACCCUAUUUGCUUGUUUGCUGAGUUUUUCCAUCGUAUUUUGUUUCACCUUGUUGCGCUACAUCUAGACACAUCUUAGCCAGCAAUUGUGAUUCAUCCUUUGGAUGCUUAUUGAAUUUAGGUAAAUCUGUAUUCAUUAAUUGCUAAUCCUUGUUGUUCAUAGUGUGUCUUUUCAAAGCUCCACAUAUAUUUCUAUCAGCGUAGGUUCAUCUUGCAACUGUUACCCACGCUCA